rnacentral:lncRNA from 1 species
UGAAAAAUUGGUAACGCUUCAAGAAUUUGCGUGUCAUCCUUGUGCAAGGGGCCAUGCUAAUCUUCUCUGUAUCGUAUCCAAUUUUAGUAUAUGUGUUAGCGAACUAACACUAUUCUACCAGCACGGUUAGCAUUGAUAUGAACGACUCGAUACGAUGACGCCCUGCAGUCAAGGUGAAGGUUUCCCACGUCUUACAGGCAGUCGAAACAAUGAAAAUGCUUUAGGUGACUGAGGUCUGAGUCUUCCUGUUUGGGAAGUGCAGCUUAAAAAUUGAGAUCAGGGGGACUGUUUUCAAAAAUAAAACUCAUGUUUGUAACGAUUCAUGUCAUCCUUGUUAAGUGUCAGACAGCACUGAGUGACCUGCUGCUUGCGUGGUACUCCGCUCUCGCCGUAGGGGUUUGUAACGAUUCAUGUCAUCCUUGUUAAGUGUCAGACGGCACUGAGUGACCUGCUGCUCGCGUGGUACUCUGCUCUCGCCUUAGGGGUGCUGCCUUUUCCUUUUUUAUCGUGGAAGUUUAGAAAUGUUAUAUGGGGCUGAAAAAUUGGUAACGCUUCACGAAUUUGCGUGUCAUCCUUGCGCCAGGGGCCAUGCUAAUCUUCUCUGUAUUGUAUCCAAUUUUAGUAUAUGUGUUAGCGAACUAACACUAUUCUAUCGGCACGGUUAGCAUUGAUAUGAACGACUAGAUACGAUGACCCCCUGCAGUCAUGGUGCAGGUUUCCCACGUCUUACAGGCAGUCGAAACAAUGAAAAUGCUUUAGGUGACUUAGGGAAAACACAAGACUGAGGUCUGGAUCUUGGGAAGUGCAGCUUAAAAAUUGAGAUCAGGGGGACUGUUUUCAAAAAUAAAACUCAUGUUUGUAACGAUUCAUGUCAUCCUUGUUAAGUGUCAGACAGCACUGAGUGACCUGCUGCUUGCGUGGUACUCCGCUCUCGCCGUAGGGGUUUGUAAUGAUUCAUGUCAUCCUUGUUAAGUGUCAGACGGCACUGAGUGACCUGCUGCUCGCGUGGUACUCUGCUCUCGCCUUAGGGGUGCUGCCUUUUCCUUUUUUAUCGUGGAAGUUUAGAAAUGUUAUAUGGGGCUGAAAAAUUGGUAACGCUUCACGAAUUUGCGUGCCAUCCUUGCGCCAGGGGCCAUGCUAAUCUUCUCUGUAUCGUAUCCAAUUUUAGUAUAUGUGUUAGCGAACUAACACAAUCCUACCAGCACGGUUAGCAUUGAUAUGAACAACUUGAUACGAUGACCCCCUGCAGUCAUGGUGCAGGUUUCCCACGUCUUACAGGCAGUCGAAACAAUGAAAAUGCUUUAGGUGACUUAGGGAAAACACAAGACUGAGGUCUGGAUCUUGGGAAGUGCAGCUUAAAAAUUGAGAUCGGGGGACUGUUUUCAAAAAUAAAACUCAUGUUUGUAACGAUUCAUGUCAUCCUUGUUAAGUGUCAGACAGCACUGAGUGACCUGCUGCUUGCGUGGUACUCCGCUCUCGCUGUAGGGGUUUGUAAUGAUUCAUGUCAUCCUUGUUAAGUGUCAGACAGCACUGAGUGACCUGCUGCUCGCGUGGUACUCUGCUCUCGCCUUAGGGGUGCUGCAUUUUCCUGUUUUAUUGUGGAAGUUUAGAAAUGUUAUAUGGGGCUGAAAAAUUGGUAACGCUUCAAGAAUUUGCGUGUCAUCCUUGUGCAAGGGGCCAUGCUAAUCUUCUCUGUAUCGUAUCCAAUUUUAGUAUAUGUGUUAGCGAACUAACACUAUUCUACCAGCACGGUUAGCAUUGAUAUGAACGACUCGAUACGAUGACGCCCUGCAGUCAAGGUGAAGGUUUCCCACGUCUUACAGGCAGUCGAAACAAUGAAAAUGCUUUAGGUGACUGAGGUCUGAGUCUUCCUGUUUGGGAAGUGCAGCUUAAAAAUUGAGAUCAGGGGGACUGUUUUCAAAAAUAAAACUCAUGUUUGUAACGAUUCAUGUCAUCCUUGUUAAGUGUCAGACAGCACUGAGUGACCUGCUGCUUGCGUGGUACUCCGCUCUCGCCGUAGGGGUUUGUAACGAUUCAUGUCAUCCUUGUUAAGUGCCAGACGGCACUGAGUGACCUGCUGCUCGCGUGGUACUCUGCUCUCGCCUUAGGGGUGCUGCCUUUUCCUUUUUUAUCGUGGAAGUUUAGAAAUGUUAUAUGGGGCUGAAAAAUUGGUAACGCUUCACGAAUUUGCGUGACAUCCUUGCGCCAGGGGCCAUGCUAAUCUUCUCUGUAUUGUAUCCAAUUUUAGUAUAUGUGUUAGCGAACUAACACUAUUCUAUCGGCACGGUUAGCAUUGAUAUGAACGACUAGAUACGAUGACCCCCUGCAGUCAUGGUGCAGGUUUCCCACGUCUUACAGGCAGUCGAAACAAUGAAAAUGCUUUAGGUGACUUAGGGAAAACACAAGACUGAGGUCUGGAUCUUGGGAAGUGCAGCUUAAAAAUUGAGAUCAGGGGGACUGUUUUCAAAAAUAAAACUCAUGUUUGUAACGAUUCAUGUCAUCCUUGUUAAGUGUCAGACAGCACUGAGUGACCUGCUGCUUGCGUGGUACUCCGCUCUCGCCGUAGGGGUUUGUAAUGAUUCAUGUCAUCCUUGUUAAGUGUCAGACGGCACUGAGUGACCUGCUGCUCGCGUGGUACUCUGCUCUCGCCUUAGGGGUGCUGCCUUUUCCUUUUUUAUCGUGGAAGUUUAGAAAUGUUAUAUGGGGCUGAAAAAUUGGUAACGCUUCACGAAUUUGCGUGCCAUCCUUGCGCCAGGGGCCAUGCUAAUCUUCUCUGUAUCGUAUCCAAUUUUAGUAUAUGUGUUAGCGAACUAACACAAUCCUACCAGCACGGUUAGCAUUGAUAUGAACAACUUGAUACGAUGACCCCCUGCAGUCAUGGUGCAGGUUUCCCACGUCUUACAGGCAGUCGAAACAAUGAAAAUGCUUUAGGUGACUUAGGGAAAACACAAGACUGAGGUCUGGAUCUUGGGAAGUGCAGCUUAAAAAUUGAGAUCGGGGGACUGUUUUCAAAAAUAAAACUCAUGUUUGUAACGAUUCAUGUCAUCCUUGUUAAGUGUCAGACAGCACUGAGUGACCUGCUGCUUGCGUGGUACUCCGCUCUCGCUGUAGGGGUUUGUAAUGAUUCAUGUCAUCCUUGUUAAGUGUCAGACGGCACUGAGUGACCUGCUGCUCGCGUGGUACUCCGUUGUAUACAGAUUUUAAAAACUAUACUGUAAAAAUGUUUUCGUUUUUUUUUGACAUUU